AUUGAACGCUGGCGGCAGGCUUAACACAUGCAAGUCGAGCGGGGUGAUGGUGCUUGCACUAUCACUUAGCGGCGGACGGGUGAGUAAUGCUUAGGAAUCUGCCUAUUAGUGGGGGGCAACAUUUCGAAAGGAAUGCUAAUACCGCAUACGUCCUACGGGAGAAAGCAGGGGGUCUUCGGACCUUGCGCUAAUAGAUGAGCCUACGUCGGAUUAGCUAGCUGGUGGGGUGAAGGCCUACCAAGGCGACGAUCUGUAGCGGGUCUGGGAGGAUGAUCCGGCACACUGGGACUGAGACACGGCCCAGACUCCUACGGGAGGCAGCAGUGGGGGAUAUUGGACAAUGGGGGGAACCCUGAUCCAGCCAUGCCGCGUGUGUGAAGAAGGCCUUAUGAUUGUAAAGCACUUUAAGCGAGGAGGAGGCUCUUUUGGUUAAUACCCAAGAUGAGUGGACGUUACUCGCAGAAUAAGCACCGGCUAACUCUGUGCCAGCAGCCGCGGUAA
rnacentral:rRNA from 1 species